CUGUUUACCAAAAACAUAUUUAAUAGAACUAAUUAUUAAUAAUACCUGCUCAAUGAAAUUUAAAUAGCCGCAGCUCAUACUGUGCUAAGGUAGCAUAAUCAUUUGUCUCUUAAUUGGAGACUAGAAUGAAAGGUUAAACAUUUAAAUUAUUUCAUUCAUAUUCAAUUUCAAAUUUAUUUUAAAUGUAAAAAAACCUUUAUAAUAAGAAAGACGACAAGACCCUAUUGAACUUUACUGAAGUUUAACUGGGGUAGUUAAUUAAUUAAUAUUUUAAUUAAUCCUUUUAUAAAAAUGACCCAACAUAGUUGAUUAUAUGAAUAAGCUACCAUAGGGAUAACAGCGUAAUAAUUUUCUAUAGAUCUUAUAUAAAAAAUUGAUUACGACCUCGAUGUUGAAUUAAUUCCUCUAAUAGGUGCACCCACCUAAAAAGAAAGUCUGUUCGACUUUUAAAUAAUUACAUGAUCUGA
rnacentral:rRNA from 1 species